rnacentral:rRNA from 1 species
UACAGGGGGUGCAAACGUUGCUCGGAAUCAUUGGGCGUAAAGCGCACGUAGGCGGUCUGUUAUGUCGGAUGUGAAAGCCCUUGGCUCAACUGAGGAAGUGCAUCCGAAACUGGCAGGCUAGAGUACUAAAGAGGGUCGCGGAAUUCCCGGUGUAGAGGUGAAAUUCGUAGAUAUCGGGAGGAACACCAGUGGCGAAGGCGGCUCACUGGCCCGGUACUGACGCUGAGGUGCGAAAGCGUGGGGAGCAAACAGG